rnacentral:rRNA from 1 species
GAAUUGUAAUCUAGAGAAGUGUUUUCCGUGGCGGACCGUGCACAAGUCUCCUGGAAUGGAGCGUCAUGGAGGGUGAGAAUCCCGUAUAUGGCACGGACUCCCGUUGCUCUUUGAUACACUCUCGACGAGUCGAGUUGUUUGGGAAUGCAGCUCCAAAUGGGUGGUAAAUGCCAUCUAAAGCUAAAUAUUGGCGAGAGACCGAUAGCGAACAAGUACCGUGAGGGAAAGAUGAAAAGCACUUUGGAAAGAGAGUGAAACAGUACGUGAAAUUGUUGAAAGGGAAACGCUUGAAGUCAGUCGCGCCGUUCAGGAUUCAGCCUUGCUUCAGCUUGGUUUACUUCCUGUUGGGUGGGUCAACAUCAGUUUUGCUCGGAGGAGAAAGACUUGGGGAAUGUGGCAGCAUUCGUGCUGUGUUAUAGCCCCUUGUUGUAUACUUCGAUUGGGACUGAGGACUGCAGCACGCC